rnacentral:lncRNA from 10 species
ACAAAAUUUGUACUGUAAAUGUGUGUAUACUCCAGAGGUGAAGGGAAGCUGUAGAGUGCCAAUGUCUGUCUCCUUAUAACAGCUUGUAUGCUCAGUACCUAUCACAUUAGUAUAAAGGAAAACAUAUCUAUGGACCUUCCUUUAAUCAAAGAACAGUAUGUCUUUGUUUUUCUCAACUGUAAACAUCUGCAAAGAAUUUGAAGACCAAAGUAGUUCAGGCUAGAAUUAUGGGCAUGAGGAAGAAGUGAGAAACAUGUGAUAACAAAUGCUAAGAGCGUAAGUGGGGAUAGGUAUGUUUCUGUAAGGGGUUUAUGACCAUCUAGACAUUAAAAGCCUCUUAGUAUUCUUCUACCUCAUGGACAUUUUCUUUUUUUACUUUUUUUUUUCUUUUUUUUUUUUUUUUUUGAUACAGAGUCUCACUCUGUCACCCAGGCUGGAGUGAAGCGGCAAGAUCUCAGCUCACUGCAACCUCCGCCUCCUGGGUUCAAGCGAUUCUCAUGCCUCAGCCACCAGAGUAGCUGGGAUUACAGGCAUGCACCACCACACUUGAAUAAUUUUUGUAUUUUUAGUAGAGACGGGAUUUUGCCAUGUUGACCAGGCUGGUCUUGAACUCCUGACCUCAAGUGAUCCUCCUGCCUCAGCCUCCCAAAGUGCUGUGAUUACAUGCAUGAGCCAUGUCACCUGGCUGGAAAUUUACUUUUACCACUAACUGAUUAGAGGCUCUUCCCUGAACCUUCUGCAUUUCUAUAACAGUACACCAUUUUUAUUGGGUAUUUAAUGUUUGCAGUCAUGGUUGUCCUUCAAAGUUGUCAUUUUGGGAAGCUAUGCAUUCAUGUUAAUGACAUUAUCUUUCAGAAUUGGAAUUACAUUGAGUCUCUUCCAUAAAAGAAACUAAAUGUCACUACUAUAGAGUCAUUUUUUAUAUUGUUCUAAUAUUGUUAACAAAGACAGUAUUAACCAUAUUUUUCCUGUUAAUUUAGUUAACAUGUAUUUAUCAAUUUAUUUGUCUACUUUAUUCACACCAGAUUUUUGUCCAAAUGACAUUCAGUUAUUUCUAAAAAUCAAAUCCAGGCUGAAAAAGAAAAAACAAAUUUCUACUUCACAGGUAAUUCAAAAGAAUAUGUCAAAUGUUUCUGAGACAAUUUCAGUGAGCAGUAAAUAAACACAUUUGCUUUACUGGCAGAAUAUUUGAAUAGUUGUCUAGAGUUGCAAGGCAAUAAUUUUGGAAAGGUAUCAUUCACUUCUGUAUUAGUUUAAAAAUCAUAUUUUACUUUUAAAUUUCUUAUAACCCAUAUAUAAUACCAU